UACGUAGGGUGCGAGCGUUAAUCGGAAUUACUGGGCGUAAAGCGUGCGCAGGCGGUUUGUUAAGCCAGAUGUGAAAGCCCCGGGCUCAACCUGGGAACUGCGUUUGGUACUGGCAAGCUAGAGUACGGCAGAGGGGGGUGGAAUUCCACGUGUAGCAGUGAAAUGCGUAGAGAUGUGGAGGAACACCGAUGGCGAAGGCAGCCCCCUGGGCCGAUACUGACGCUCAGGCACGAAAGCGUGAGGAGCAAACAGG
rnacentral:rRNA from 1 species